AUACGGAGGACGCGAGCGUUAUCCGGAUUCAUUGGGUUUAAAGGGUGCGCAGGCGGCCGUGCAAGUCAGCGGUGAAAGCCCGGGGCUCAACCCCGGAAGUGCCGUUGAUACUGCAUGGCUGGAAUGCGGUCGAGGCGGGCGGAACGUGGCGUGUAGGGGUGGAAAGCGUAGAUAUGCCACAGAAAGCCGAUAGCGGAGGCAGCUCGCCAGGCCUACAUUGACGCUCGGGCACGAAAGCGUGGGGAUCGAACAGGAUUAGAUCCCCUGGUAGUCCACGCCGUAAACGAUGGGCGCUCGUCGUCGGCGGCAGACAGUCGGCGGCCAAGCGAAAGCGAUAAGCGCCCCACCUGGGGAGUACGGUCGCAAGGCUGAAACUCAAAUGAAUUGACGGGG
rnacentral:rRNA from 1 species